GACCCCAAAUUUUUGGGAUAAAGCUUAGUUGAGUUUGAGUUUGAGUUCAUGUAUAAGCCAGGAGAAGUUUUCAGUAUUGACCGAUCAUUAAAACAAUAAUGGCUUUAUUUGUGGAAAUUUUAUUAUUUUACAGUGAUUUUGUCUAAUUUGAAAUAAAAUACUAAUAUGUAGUCUUUUUUGAAUUGCAGAACUGUUGUCAGUCAACUGAUUACAGGAUAUCUACCUAGUCUAAUUCUUCAGUUUUUU
rnacentral:misc_RNA from 1 species